UGUCUAUUCGGUUCAACUUAAGUCUAUGGAAUCAAAGAUAAUUUACGAAACCAAUUGGAUCAGUGAUAUUCAUCCUUUCACCAGUUUCUAUACAACAGGAACAUCCAUUGAUGGUGGAUCUGAUCCAGCUGAAAUGCUGCACGGUACAUCGGAUGCUUGUCUAGUUUGACGGACUAAUGUACUGAAAUAGUUCAGCUGGUUAAUUUAUCAGCUGAGUGUUACUUGUUGUCACAAUGGAUUUUGUCAAUAAUUAAGCUCUGUAUUGUCAAGCUUUUUCCGAUCAUGCCAAGAUGACAGUUGGAUGUAGUGGUGCAAAAAUUCAAGAGAAGACGAUACCACAGGUGGUGCUGAUGAGUGAUGAGCCUAGGCUGAGAUGGAAGUUAACUUGAGGAAUAGUGUUCGGAACAAUGUCCCGCAAAAAAAAAGUUACUCCCUCCGAUUCAUGUUACCUGUCACUAGUAUGGAUGUAUCUAAUACUAAAAUGUGUCUAGAUACAUCUAUAUUAGAGACAAUUAAUAUGAAUCGGAGGGAGUGGGAUUGUUGAUGUUUAAAGAAAAGUUUCAUAGGCGAUAUGGUAUAUUUUUUGGUUUAGAUUUUAGUAUGUGAUAUGUUUCUGAAACCUUGAUCAUUUUCCUUUUGGUGUCAUGAUUGCAGAGAACUCUCUGCAUGUCCAGGUUUGUCAAAAGUGU